rnacentral:rRNA from 1 species
ACCCCUUUUGCAAUUUGAGGCGGCAUACGAUCGUUGAUUGUAAGUCUGACCUAGAGCAGGUAUGCUAGGACCCGAAAGAUGGUGAACUAUGCCUNAGUAGGGCGAAGCCAGAGGAAACUCUGGUGGAAGCUCGUAACGGUGCUGACGUGCAAAUCGCUCGUCCAACUUGGGUAUAGGGGCGAAAGACUAAUCGAACCAUCUAGUUGCUGGUUUCCUCCGAAGUUUCUCUCAGGAUAGCAGGCCGAAUUAAAGCUGUUGUGUGCGGUAAAGCCAAUGAUUAGCGUACUCGGGGGCUUUUUGCCUUUGGACGAUUCUCAAACUUUAAAUGCGCACGGAUGUUGCUGCUUCGGUGAGCAACGCCAUUAAAAGCUUCGGCUCUGUGGGCCAUUUUUGGUAAGCAGAACUGGCGAUAUGGGAUGAACCAUAAGUGUGGUUAAGGCGCCUCAUUGUCCGCUUAUAGACACCAAAAAAGGUGUUGAUUCAUCCAGACAGCAGGACGGUGGCCAUGGAAGUCGGAAUCCGCUAAGGAGUGUGUAACAACUCACCUGCCGAAUGAAUUAGCCCUGAAAAUGGAUGGCGCUAAAGCGGGCAGCCGACACCACGCCGUCUGGACAACUUUUUGUUCCAGAUGAGUAGGAGGACCUGGCGGUUGUAUAGAAGCGUACGCGCGAGCGUGCGUGGAACGGCCGCUAGUGCAGAUCUUGGUGUUAGUAGCAAAUAUUCAAUUGAGAACCUUGAAGGGCGAAGCGGGGAAGGGUUCCACGCGUACAUUGAUUGGGUGUGGGUGAGUAAAUCCUA